UUUACUUAAAUAAUGUAAAAAUAAAAUAUUCUGAUCUAUAUAAAAUAAAUUAAAUUUUUUCCCUAUAUGAACUUAUUUUACUUUUCAUAAAAAUCACUAAUAUAUAAAAAAAAUGUUAGCGCCUUAUUUAAUAAUAUUAUUAUUAGCAACAUUAUCUUAUCUUCCUAGCGGAGAAGCCGAUGCAGGGCUUAGAAGCGCCCGAUUUGAAAGUAAUGCCAUUGGAUAUCAUGGAAUUGAAAAUUUGUGUGCCACUAGAUGUCAAAAUUCUUUCAAUUACCGAUGUAAUAUUUGCCGACUGAACCCACAAAAAUAAUUAAAAUAAUAACAUGAAUUUGUUAAAAGUUAUAAUAUUAUAAUAUAAUAAAAUCAUUUUUUAUUAAAUGUAAUUCAUAAUAAUUUAAUUUACGAUAAUAUUAUACAUACGAUUUAUAAUUAUAUAUUAAAUAA